GAACCCAAAUUGCCUCCCAGACUUUUGCUUCUGCCCUGCCACCAGCUGCAGCUGGCUCGCCUCAAACCCUCUCCACUCCUGCAGCCACCGAGGAACUCGGCCACACCUCAGCUCUGAGAAGAGAGCAGUGCCAGUCAGCUGUCUGUAAGACUGCACAAGGCUCCUUGGCUUUGAGGAUGAGUUUUUUCCGAUGUUACGUUUUAAAAGCAGAAACAUCUAAAGAGGAUGCUAGCGUGAGCCAGACAGACAACCGGGUUCCGGUGGGACAGAAAGAGCACCUUGUGACUUUGGCCCACGGCUCCCGUCACGGAGGUUCCUGGGAAUUGCCACAUGAUCAAUUCAUUUUCAACAACAAUAACAACAGUCUUCAUUCUCUUCAGGAAAUAAAAGCUCUUCUACUUACAACUACAAGAUCUAGAAGACAAAUUCUUAUGGUCAUAUAUAAUGGAAAAAUAACAGCUGCA
rnacentral:lncRNA from 1 species